UACAGAGGUCUCAAGCGUUGUUCGGAUUCAUUGGGCGUAAAGAGCGUGUAGGCGGCUUGGUAGGUCCGCUGUGAAAACUCGAGGCUCAACCUCGAGAUGUCGGCGGAAACCACUUGGCUAGAGUCCGGAAGAGGAGAGUGGAAUUCCUGGUGUAGCGGUGAAAUGCGCAGAUAUCAGGAAGAACACCUAUGGCGAAGGCAGCUCUCUGGGACGGUACUGACGCUGAGACGCGAAAGCGUGGGGAGCGAACAGG
rnacentral:rRNA from 1 species